rnacentral:rRNA from 1 species
UAAUACAGAGGGUGCGAGCGUUAAUCGGAUUUACUGGGCGUAAAGCGUGCGUAGGCGGCUUUUUAAGUCGGAUGUGAAAUCCCUGAGCUUAACUUAGGAAUUGCAUUCGAUACUGGGAAGCUAGAGUAUGGGAGAGGAUGGUAGAAUUCCAGGUGUAGCGGUGAAAUGCGUAGAGAUCUGGAGGAAUACCGAUGGCGAAGGCAGCCAUCUGGCCUAAUACUGACGCUGAGGUACGAAAGCAUGGGGAGCAAACAGGAUUAGAUACCCUGGUAGUCCAUGCAGUAAACGAUGUCUACUAGCCGUUGGGGCCUUUGAGGCUUUAGUGGCGCAGCUAACGCGAUAAGUAGACCGCCUGGGGAGUACGGUCGCAAGACUAAA